rnacentral:rRNA from 1 species
GUGCCAGCCGCCGCGGUAAAACGUAGGACGCAAGCGUUAUCCGGAGUUACUGGGCGUAAAGGGCAGGCAGGCGGGCUGAUAAGUUGGGUGUGAAAUCUCCGUGGCUUAACCGGGAGGGUGCAUCUGAGACUGUCAGCCUGGAGGGCAGCAGAGGAGCGUGGAAUUCCGGGUGGAGUGGUGAAAUGCGUAGAGAUCCGGAGGAACACCAGAGGCGAAAGCGGGGCUCUGGGCUGCACCUGACGCUGAACUGCGAAAGCCAGGGGAGCGAACGGGAUUAGAAACCCCUGUAGUCC